AUUGAACGCUGGCGGCAUGCCUUACACAUGCAAGUCGAACGGCAGCAUGGAGAGCUUGCUCUCUGAUGGCGAGUGGCGAACGGGUGAGUAAAGCAUCGGAACGUACCGUGUAGUGGGGGAUAACGUAGCGAAAGUUACGCUAAUACCGCAUACGCACGGAGGUGGAAAGCAGGGGAUCGCAAGACCUUGCGCUAUACGAGCGGCCGAUGUCAGAUUAGCUAGUUGGUAGGGUAAAGGCCUACCAAGGCGACGAUCUGUAGCGGGUCUGAGAGGAUGAUCCGCCACACUGGGACUGAGACACGGCCCAGACUCCUACGGGAGGCAGCAGUGGGGAAUUUUGGACAAUGGGGGCAACCCUGAUCCAGCAAUGCCGCGUGAGUGAAGAAGGCCUUCGGGUUGUAAAGCUCUUUUGUCAGGGAAGAAACACCGGCUCUAACACAGUCCGGGAAUGACGGUACCUGAAGAAUAAGCACCGGCUAACUACGUGCCAGCCGCCGCGGUAA
rnacentral:rRNA from 1 species